GGAUUCGUGGCGCAAUGGUAGCGCAUUUGACUCCAGAUCAGAAGGGUGCGUGUUCGAUUCACGUCGGGUUCA
rfam:Ipomoea nil DNA, scaffold: scaffold2280, cultivar: Tokyo-kokei standard.